rnacentral:rRNA from 1 species
GACAGAGGGUGCAAACGUUGCUCGGAAUUACUGGGCGUAAAGCGCGUGUAGGCGGAUUGGUGUGUCAGAUGUGAAAUCCCUGGGCUCAACCCAGGAACUGCACCUGAAACUACCAGUCUUGAGUGGUGGAGAGGGAAGUGGAAUUCCUGGUGUAGAGGUGAAAUUCGUAGAUAUCAGGAAGAACACCUAUGGCGAAGGCAGCUCUCUGGGACGGUACUGACGCUGAGACGCGAAAGCGUGGGGAGCGAACAGG